rnacentral:lncRNA from 1 species
AAAAAAACUAAACCUAGGCAUACUACAUUCUGAAUGGAUAAAAACAUUUAUGAAAACUUAAAGUUAUUUACAAACAUGAAAAUAUUGUCCACAUGACUUCUUCGGUUUGAACGUGCGGAGCCACUUCUUCGAAUCUUUCAUCAGGAAUUUGUCAUUUAUAACGGUUCUUUGCCGGUUUCGGAUCGACGGAUUCGCCAGUCCACUCUGUUAUUUACAUUGUACAUAUAUAUACAUUGUCUCCACAACACAAAAGUUUCGAUAUACAACGUUACUGCUAGUCUGUUGUAACAUCUCAGAGUCAUCUCAGGUUUCUAUUCAUUCAACAAUUCUCACAGGCGUUCUUCUAAUGUUCUUCAAAGUUCGAGGAUAAUGCGUUUCCAUAAAACCAAGGAAACAAAAUGACUGACACAAAAGUUUCACAAAUAUUUACAACAAGUCACUUACAUUAAUAUGUAUACAAAGUCAUCCUAACUCAAUUCUCCGUGGCAUACAUUUCUCACUUCAGUUAUCCUAUAGUUUCUCUUGAACGGAAGCCCAAAUUGCUUCUGUUUUCGGCACACGCCAUAACACAUGAUAACUUUGUAAUUCGUCCAGAUUUCAGACACAUCAUAACUCCGGUUACUGACAUAUUGACCA